UCCCGUAUGGUCUAGUGGCUAGGAUACCUGGCUUUCACCCAGGAGGCUCGGGUUCGAUUCCCGGUACGGGGAA
rnacentral:tRNA from 1 species